CCAAUAGCGUAUAUUAAAGUUGUUGCAGUUAAAAGGCUCGUAGUUGAAUUUUAGUCCUGGCCGGGCGGUCCGUCUUUGGCGAGUACUGUCCUGUGUCGGGUCUUCCUUCUGGUGAACCAGUAUGUCCUUUAUUGGGUGUUUUGGGGAGCCAGGACCAUUACCUUGAAAAAAUUAGAGUGUUUAAAGCGGGCAUUUGCUUGAAUAGAUUAGCAUGGAAUAAUAGAAUAGGACGUUGUGGUUCUAUUUUGUUGGUUUCUAGGACCACCGUAAUGAUUAAUAGGGAUAGUUGGGGGCAUUAGUAUUCAAUUGUCAGAGGUGAAAUUCUUGGAUUUAUUGAAGACUAACUACUGCGAAAGCAUUUGCCAAGGAUGUUUUCAUUAAUCAAGAACGAAAGUUAGGGGAUCGAAGACGAUCAGAUACCGUCGUAGUCUUAACCAUAAACUAUGCCGACUAGGAAUCGGGCGACGUUAUUUUCAUGACUCGCUCGGCGCCUUAUG
rnacentral:rRNA from 1 species